rnacentral:rRNA from 1 species
UACGAAGGGGGCGAGCGUUGUUCGGAAUUACUGGGCGUAAAGGGCGCGCAGGCGGCUCUGAAAGUCAGAUGUGAAAGCCCCGGGCUUAACCUGGGAAUUGCAUUUGAUACUCUGGAGCUUGAGUACGGGAGAGGAGAGUGGAAUUCCUGGUGUAGCGGUGAAAUGCGUAGAUAUCAGGAGGAACACCGGUGGUGCAGACGGCGUCUCUGGACCGUAACUGAUGCUGAGACACGAAAGCGUGGGUAGCAAACAGG